ACCGACAACUGCUGUGAAAUUGGAUGUGCUACUGACAUUAAUGGGAUAUGUCAAAAAUUUAUUAGAAGGGAGAGAUGCCGUGAAGCAGGGUAUUAGACGGAAUAUGAGAGGCUGUCUUGCUUGAAUAUCUGGAAUGAGCCUUGGGCGCCAUCUCUUCCUAACUUUAAGAUUGGCAGCCCUCGUCCCCCAGAUUCCCCGAUUCUGCAUAUAGCAGAUUUACUGAAGCCUGGAGUGCACCAAUGAGAUAGAGAAAUAUAUAUUUAUGAGAUAGAGAAAGGUCCCUAAUAUAUAUUUAUUUAUUCGUUGGGGAAAGAAAGAAAUUAACCACCAAUCAAAACUUUCACUUCUUCUUUGCGUUGCCCAAAGAAGAACAACCUCGCAUCCAUCUCCGUCCAGCAACUUCGGCUAGGAACCAGCUUUGACGUGGAUGGUAGCAUCACAGAUCGGCGACGUCUAGGGGCUCCUCAACGGCAGUGGACAGUGGUUGUAGAUAUGAGAAAGCAAGAGAGUGAAAGAGAGAGAGUGAGUGAAAGGCGUCAAAUUUGAGCCUCUUUGGCCGGCGAUCCUGGCAGUGGUUCUGAUUAAGGAGGAUGGCUUUCAACUCCUGGCAGUUCAAGCAUCCUGUCGGGACCUCUCUCACCGGUUCUAAUGGUGGUUUCCGCCAACAGCAAGAAGAGAGAGAAAUGGGUUUGGCAGUAGGUUUCCAGUCACUCUUCCAGCGAUCCUCCCUUCGGAUCGGAAAUCCGAGACCACCGAUGGACUCAGGGAGACGAAAUCUUCGAAAUAGAAUCUGUCCCGCUCCGAUCGGACACUGUUUGAAAAAGGCGAUUAUCGGAUGGUGGUGAGAAUUUUGAGUUUUUUUAUUUUUAAAAAUUAAAAAUAAUUUUAUGAUAAUUAUUAAUAAUUUUUUGGUAUAAUUUAGGUACGAUUGGAUCGAUAAUAGUUCAUUAGCGUCAUGGCUGUAUUUUUCGGUCAGAUCUGACUGUCUGACGGCCUGUCUUGAAACAUGAUUGAUAUUAUAGUCAAUCCUAACAUUUUCAGCUGUUCUGGACACGAUGCAGGUGUCAGAUUUUACAUAGUCUGUCACUUUGCCAGAGAUCCAACAGACAGAGGUAGGAGAAAUUGAGCAAUCCAUCAAUUUCUCCAAUACAAACACCACAAUUGGUUUCCAACGCCAUAAUUUUUCCUUCUAUGUAUAGUUUUAGAAUGACAUGUAUACUCUCACUUAAAAAAAAAAAAAAAAAAAAACAUAUACUUUCAUAACGCAUAGUCAAAUAAAUUGAAAGAAGUAUUAUCUAGGGUGUUAUCCAUUUUGCUUGAUGGGGAUGUGUUUGAUAAAUGUACGCAAUUAACUCAUAAAUCAUGAAGCUAUCAAGGGUCUUUAAUCCUUA